rnacentral:sRNA from 1 species
AGUGUAAUAAGGCUUUCAUGGGUGGUGGCUCACUCCCUUUUUCAGAAGGGGGGUGAUGCUGGUGACAGUUUACGAGUCGUUAAUCUUAAUGGUUGCGUUCGCAACGUUAGUUGUUGCAAUUCUGUCAGAAAAGAAGUAACCACCCUGACAGCCUGACAAGCAUUUAGGGUGGUUAUCUCUCCUUAAUGUGAGUCGCCCCCUUGAAGGGCUGUUGCACAUAGGGCCGUUUGGUGUAAGAGCACCAAACGG